UACGUAGGCAGCGAGCGUUGUUCGGAAUUACUGGGCGUAAAGAGUGUGUAGGCGGUGCUCUAAGUUCGGUGUGAAAUCUCCUGGCUUAACUGGGAGGGUGCGCCGGAAACUGGGGUGCUCGAGCGUGGGAGAGGAAAGCGGAAUUCCUGGUGUAGCGGUGAAAUGCGUAGAUAUUGGGAAGAACACCGGUGGCGAAAGCGCCUUGCUGGGUCUGCACUGACACUGAGGGACGAAAGCUAGGGGAGCGAAAGGG
rnacentral:rRNA from 1 species